CGCUGAUUGGCGCCCCCGGCCGCCCGUUAGGGCGCGAGGCACGCCGGCCGAGCGCAGCGCUCGGCGCGCACGGAAGACGGGAAAUGAAAGCUUCCCUGAAGAGCGUGCCUUCAAAUGGACUUGGAGAGAUAGUUGGCCAUUCUCUGUGUCCUGCAGGUUUUCCAGACCAUCAAGAUGUUCAUUUCUACCACCUCCUCCAAUAUGGAAGCCCUGGAGUUAAGCAAAUUGUAGUUUUGAAUGCUGCUGUGUUCCCAAUCUGUGAGCUUUGACAAGUGGAAUUCACCUGCAAUGAUGGCUCUUUAAAAAUAGUUACGUCAUGGGGCGCCUGGGUGGCUCGGUCAGUUAAGCGUCCGACUUCGGCUCAGGUCAUGAUCUCGUGGUCUGUGAGUUCGAGCCCCGCGUCGGGCUCUGUGCUGACAGCUCAGAGCCUGGAGCCUGCUUCAGAUUCUGUGUCUCCCU